GUUGGGGCUGGCGCGCGCGACGAAUCUUAACGCUGCGCUGUCUGCAGGCGCUUCCGGGCCACCAGAUUCCCUGCCUUCCACCCUGGCGCCCCCCAGCCCUGGCUCUCCGGCCGCUCUGCCCCGGGCAUCCACGCCCUGCGGGCUCAGCGGAUUCAGCGGGCUCAAUAUACGCAGCACCUCCUCCAUGUUGACCAAGCCUCUGCAGGGGCUUCCUUCGCCCCCUGUGACCCCCACGCAGCCUCCAGGAGGCAAGGAUCGGGCAGCUUUCGAGGCCGAAUACCGACUUGGCCCCCUCCUGGGUAAGGGAGGCUUUGGCACCGUCUUCGCGGGACACCGCGUCACGGAUAGACGUCAGGUGGCCAUCAAAGUAAUCUCCCGGAACCGUGUGCUAGGCUGGUCCACCGUGUCAGACUCAGUCACCUGCCCACUUGAGGUAGCACUGCUGUGGAAAGUGGGUGAAGGCAAUGGCCAUCCAGGUGUGAUACGCCUGCUUGACUGGUUUGAGACACCAGAAGGCUUCAUGCUGGUCGUUGAGCGGCCUAUGCCUGCCCAGGAUCUCUUCGACUACAUCACAGAGAAGGGGCCGCUGGGUGAAAGCUGUAGCCGCAGCUUCUUUACCCAAGUGGUGGCAGCUGUCCAGCACUGCCACGCCCGUGGAGUUGUCCAUCGUGACAUCAAGGAUGAGAACAUCCUGAUAGACCUGUGCCGGGGUUCUAUUAAACUCAUUGAUUUUGGUUCUGGUGCCCUGCUCCAUGAUGAACCGUACACGGACUUCGAUGGGACAAGGGUGUAUAGCCCUCCGGAGUGGAUCUCACGACACCAGUACCAUGCCCUUCCAGCUACCGUCUGGUCACUAGGUGUCCUACUCUAUGACAUGGUCUGUGGGGACAUUCCCUUUGAGAGAGACCAGGAGAUUCUCGAGGCUGAGCUCCACUUCCCUGCUCAUGUCUCCCCAGAUUGCUGUGCCCUAAUCCGCCGGUGCCUGGCCCCUAAACCCUGCUCCCGACCCUCACUGGAGGAGAUUCUGCUGGACCCCUGGAUGCAAACACCAGCUGAAGAAAAACCCAUCAACCCCUCCAAAGGAAGCCCUACCCCCUUGCCCUGGUCCCUGCUUCCCUAGACUCAGCCAAGCUCUCUGGUUGGAAUCCCAUGGUCAUGCUACAGGGAUAGAUGGACAUCUGUUGACCUGGUUAUACAGGUUGUUAAAAAUCCAGUAUUACUAAGGUCAGGGAAUAGGGAUCAGGGGUCAGAAGAUGAUAGCCAAGUCUGCCCAGUUCCUAUCCCAAUUCUGGGAAGGAACUCUCCUCCCAGAACCUGUGGUCCCUAGUUUGGGAGGGGGAGUUACUUGUUUCUUGUUCUGUUAAGGAUGUUUAUUUGGUUGGAUUCCUUCCCUUCAGAGCCCUAAGAUUCUUAUUCUACAUUGUAGUCCCUACACUGGCACCUCCUAUACUACCACCACAAACGUAGACACUUAGUUCAAAUGCUCUCACUUGGGCAAGGGUGCUUUCCUUAAAAUUACCCCGCCCCACCCCACCCCACCCCCAGCUGCUCUUUAGCAAAAGGGCCUUACUUACCCUGGGAUCUCAUUCAGUUGCUGCUUGCCUGCCUUAGCCCAGAAAUGAUUAUUCUGGGAGGUAAUGCCCCAUUAAUUAAUUAGUAUCCUAGUGCUUUUUUUCUUUUUGUUUUUUUUUCUUUGUUUGGUGAGGGGACCCUACUGUUAUCCCAAGUGCUCUUAUUCUGGUGAGAAGAACCUUACUUCCAUAAUUUGGGAAGGAAUGGGAGAUGGACAUCACCGGACACCACCAGAGACUAGGAUGGGAUGGGUGGUUUUGGGGGGAUGAGAUGGAGGAAAUAAGUCUUACUGUUGUUCUCCUGGGGUCCCCCCUCUCCAACUUUUGCUGCCUCCUCCUGAGCCAGGAUUGUCCAGUGGUUGAAAUGUAAAUAAUUGCGUACUGGAGAUGGAGAGCCACCAGUGUGCCCUCCUGUCCCUUCUCCCCCCUGCCUGGAUUAUUUAAAAAGCCAUGUGUGGAAACCUAUUUAAUAAAUAAUGAAGUC